CCGACAUCCUCCUCCAAACGCGACCACGAGUCACCCUCCCCCUCGCCCAUCUCCCUCCCGCUUGUGGACAGUAGCGGCGGUCGAGAUCCGCAUCCCUCCCCAAUCCUCAUCUCCGGCAACUACAGUAGCUCGCCUAAGGCAAGCAAAUGGGUGCUACUCAUCCCCUUCCCCUCUCAGGCCCUUGGAGCGGCUUGUCGGCGUGAUCCUUACCUCUGCCCCCUCUCAAGAUCCUAGAUCGCUGGCGGCAAGCUGGUGGUGGGCUCCUCCUUCGCCUCUCACGCCCAGGAUCAAGUAGUGGUGCUCGUUGAAGUCUUUCGCCUUGCAUACUGGAAUCCAAAUCGAAUGAAAAGCAUGGUGAAUUGAGGGAGCAAAGAGCAGCAUCAAUGCUACACUUUGAAGCUUAAUCAUGGUGAAAGCCUCAAAGAUGGGUGAUGCUCUGACACCAGAAGCAUCUUGAGUACAUAUGAACAGAAGAAGUGUACGACUGCAAGGGCGAAACUCAUUUGCGUGCGAGAUAAUUUUAGUUCCUUUGUUGAGCGUACACCAACACAGACUUGUGCUGAACUGAAUCAUAUUCGUUUGGUGUUAUAUCUCCCUGCAAAUGAAGCUUGAUGAGAGACAAGCAUUCGAACCGGAGGCAAACGUCAACUGAACAAUAUUAUGUCAUGUACAAUCAAGAUAGCAAAUGCUCGCUGAGCGGUUGAUCAUUUUAGUACUUAAUAUUUGGUUUUGCUGGUCAUGUAAUAAAAAUAAUCAUCUCAUGUUAUGGAUCACUUCACAUGCAUGUAUGUGGAUCAAAGUCCACCCAGAAAUGGAAUACCUUGCUCACAAACAUUUUCAGCAGCCUAUUCA